UUGAUAAACACGCCAAUAAUGGCAUACGAAUUGGCGUGUCAUACGUACGCAAUUUCAUGAGAUCAGGCUGAAUUAUGAGGGUCUGGCU